AUGCACAGCCGGGAAGAUAGCGGUGUCCUGUACCUACAAUCCGCUUUAGUAGGGGUGAUGUCUUGCCUAGGGUGUUCAUUUGCUUGGCAGUCUGGAGUAAGUGGUGUUGAAGCGGGGGUCCCCACGCAAUGGAAACUUUCGAACCGUGUCAGGACAGGAAUGUAGCAGCACUAAGGAAGACCUUUCAUGUGCCGUGAGAUAGCCGCCGCAGAGCUAACUGCUUUUGUAACGCUUGUGAAUGGCAUUCGAAGCAAGACGUGCAU
rfam:Lachnoanaerobaculum sp. ICM7 ctg120007550939, whole genome shotgun sequence.